rnacentral:rRNA from 1 species
ACUUGCCAGCAGCCGCGGUAAUACGUAGGGGGCAAGCGUUAUCCGGAUUUACUGGGUGUAAAGGGAGCGUACACGGCUGUGCAAGUCUGAAGUGAAAGGCAUGGGCUCAACCUGUGGACUGCUUUGGAAACUGUGUUCCUA